rnacentral:rRNA from 1 species
UGUUGCCUCGGCGGGAUCUCUGCCCCGGGUGCGUCGCAGCCCCGGACCAAGGCGCCCGCCGGAGGACCAACCAAAACUCUUAUUGUAUACCCCCUCGCGGGUUUUUUACUAUCUGAGCCAUCUCGGCGCCCCUCGUGGGCGUUUCGAAAAUGAAUCAAAACUUUCAACAACGGAUCUCUUGGUUCUGGCAUCGAUGAAGAACGCAGCGAAAUGCGAUAAGUAAUGUGAAUUGCAGAAUUCAGUGAAUCAUCGAAUCUUUGAACGCACAUUGCGCCCGCCAGUAUUCUGGCGGGCAUGCCUGUCCGAGCGUCAUUUCAACCCUCGAACCCCUCCGGGGGGUCGGCGUUGGGGAUCGGCCCUUUACGGGGCCGGCCCCGAAAUACAGUGGCGGUCUCGCCGCAGCCUCUCCUGCGCAGUAGUUUGCACACUCGCAUCGGGAGCGCGGCGCGUCCACAGCCGUUAAACACCCCAAACUUCUGAAAUGUUGACCUCGGAUCAGGUAGGAAUACCCGCUGAACUUAAGCAUAUCAAUAA